rnacentral:ncRNA from 1 species
AAAAAGGCUGUGAAGGUGUCAGUAGAUGUUUAUCUUCUGUCAGAGAUGAGGAGUCACCGGCUGAAAGCUCCUCUCAGUUCAGAUAACCGUUGAGAUUCCCACCGGAGCCGCAUUUCUGAAACAACAGUAGGAAAUGACGUCACUGUGCGUUAAACAGAAACGAGUGCCCGCUGUAUUUUUACAGAUGGGAACAAGGGUGGUACCACGGACUUUACAGGCUUCGUCCCUUUU